rnacentral:tRNA from 1 species
GCAGUGGUGGUUCAGUGGUAGAAUUCGCACCUUCCAUGAGGGAGACCUGGGUUCAAUUCCCAGCCUAUGUA